rnacentral:lncRNA from 1 species
CGGCGGGUACCUUGAAACUAGCGAUGUUCAUCGUGCUAACCAUGAUAGCAAUACAGUAAACAUUAAAGGCUAACCACAAUAGAGAGUUUCAUUUUGAUGUGUCCAAGAUAGCAACAUAAGCAACAUGAAAAUGAAAAUGUGUUUGAAACAUACCUCUACAAUGCAAAAUUUCAUGGUGUAGUUUUAUAUGCACUACAUGCAAGACACAAACUGUGUUGGUAAAUGUGCAUACAUGGUUUCAUCUAGAUGAAACCCCUCUUACCUCUCUCCUCAUUAACUCACUCCAUAUCCUGAAAAAUGCUGACAUGGCAUCCUAAUUAAUGUGCAUCAAACCUCUACGAAAAGCUAUAUACAAG